UGUUGCUGGGGGCGCCCGCCGGCUGAGAAUGCUUAAUGCAUGACCCCUAUUACUUGAUCCGGAUAAUACCGGCGUAAGGAGGCAUU
rnacentral:ncRNA from 1 species